rnacentral:lncRNA from 1 species
AAAAUGCCAUGCCUGGGAGUUUGAAAGAAAAGCCAACCACCUGGGCUUGGGAUUCAAUCUGUGUUUUCAGUGACGCUUGAAGGUGAAACUCUCCCUUGUAACUAGAGAGUUACAGAUCCUUAGAGAGGCGCUUCAGUGGUUUCAUUCAGCGGUUACUGCAAAAGCUGUCCAGAUAAGAAUAUGGAAUGCUCACUCCACAACAUUGUUUGUGAAAAUCUUCAGAUUUAUUUUAUUGAACAAGGCUAUAAAAGUAUUUACAGAGGAGAGGGAAAGAGAGCACAGUGGAGAGAUGCCUUGGGAGAGAGCUGUUACUGGCCAUGGUGUCAUUCUUCUUCCACAGGUAGGAGAAGCAGAUCCAAACUGAGAAGGGAGAAGAUGUGAUAGUUGAUAUCACAACAAGCUUGAGUUUUGAUUAAUAUCUUGGACAGGACAUUCUAUGUUCCAAAUAGAGAUUGUGUGUUACAAAGUGACUGCAGGACCAAAAAUGAGUAGCAAAUUCAUGAACCUCUUAGAUUUUUUUAAUUUAGGACAUGAUGAGAUUACUGCCAGUGACUCAACUUUUAAAAUACAAGGAAUAACUAAAUAAAUAAAGUAAAAUUGCACUUUUAAUUGUAUUUUGAAGACAUCAUGAGCUGUGAUUCAUUCACUUCAUCUCAUAGAACUUCUGCUGGUGAUAAUUAU